GUGUACCUACGGGGCGCAGCAGUAGGGAAUUUUCGUCAAUGGGCGCAAGCCUGAACGAGCGAUGCCGCGUGAGUGAAGAGGGCCUUCGGGACGUAAAGCUCUGUUGCGGGGGAAAGAAGGCAGCAUCAGGAAAUGGGUGCUGACUGAUGGUGCCCCGCCAGAAAGUCACGGCUAACUACGUGCCAGCAGCCGCGGUAAUACGUAGGUGGCGAGCGUUAUCCGGAAUGAUUGGGCGUAAAGGGUGCGCAGGCGGUCCUGCAAGUCUGGAGUGAAACGCAU
rnacentral:rRNA from 1 species